rnacentral:snRNA from 1 species
AUCGCUUCUCAGCCUUUUGGCUAAGAUCAAGUGUAGUAUAUGUGAAAGGUCCUGGGAUUGUUUACCAAAACUUCCCUGAGUACAC